rnacentral:lncRNA from 1 species
AUUCCAUCCCACAUGGCGGCGCUCCUGAGGAGACUGCUGCAGCGCGAGAGGCCUUCGGCGGCCUCUGGCCGCCCCGCCGAGGCCCCCUGUCCCGUCUCCGCCCCACGAAUGUUCCCGAAUGAAUCCUUUCCGGUGGUGUCAGAGUGGGCGGGCGGAGGAGGGUUAAGGCAGCGCGAGCCCAUUUUACAGAGGCGGAAACUGAGGUGCAGGAGCGGAAAUAAUUCAAAUUGCCAGGAGUUUCUUGUGUUUUUUGUGCCAUCCCAUCUCUUUCGAUCUUUUUUUCAUGCAUUCCAUACAUGUGCAUUGAUGACAACCUGUGUAACAGGUGUUGUAGACGCUGGGAUACAGUGAUCAUUGAGAAAGAGUCUCACUCUACUGCUGCCCAGGCUGGAGUGCAGAGGCGUGAUCAUGGCUCGCUGCAGCCUCAGCGUCCCCAGGCUCAGGCUUCUUGCACCUGGGUGGCCUCCGCACUGCCUUGUACAACUACAUCUUUGCUAAGAAGUACCAGGGGAGCUUCAUCCUGAGGCUAGAGGACACAGAUCAGACUCGCGUUGUG